rnacentral:rRNA from 1 species
UUUUGGACAAUGGGCGAAAGCCUGAUCCAGCAAUGCCGCGUGUGGGAAGAAGGCCUUCGGGUUGUAAACCACUUUUGUACGGAACGAAACGGUCUGCUUUAAUACAGUGGGCUAAUGACGGUACCGUAAGAAUAAGCACCGGCUAACUACGUGCCAGCAGCCGCGGUAAUACGUAGGGUGCGAGCGUUAAUCGGAAUUACUGGGCGUAAAGCGUGCGCAGGCGGUUAUAUAAGACAGUUGUGAAAUCCCCGGGCUCAACCUGGGAAUUGCAUCUGUGACUGUAUAGCUAGAGUACGGUAGAGGGGGAUGGAAUUCCGCGUGUAGCAGUGAAAUGCGUAGAUAUGCGGAGGAACACCGAUGGCGAAGGCAAUCCCCUGGACCUGUACUGACGCUCAUGCACGAA